UAUGGCUUAACCAGGACUAAUACUCUGUCAGGACCUUCUCCAGUGUUUCUGUUGGCCUCUGCUGAACUCUGGAGAAGACCAGAUCUCCAUCGGUUCAGGUGACGUCAGACGGACGGAGGCUGCAGAGGUUUGACAUCGUUGAUGUGUGAUGGAACGUCGCUGCAGUUUCAAACCAGCACACACGAGCCAAUCAGAGGAGAAGGCCCACCUAC